GGUCGUUAAGCUCAGCUGGGAGAGCACCUACCAUACAAGGAGGGGUUUACUGGUUCGAGCCCAGUAACGACCA
rnacentral:tRNA from 1 species